CAGUCGUACCUGCGGGUAAUCAGCCUUUUGGGCAUGAUUCUGUGGAGCGUGAGGAGUUAAACGCCUUCAUGCCUGCAUAUUCGUGUACUUUGGGUGUACUUGCCUGUGUGGUUAGUUAACAUCAAUUUUGGUUAUCAUAAAAUGGUUGGAGGAAUGUAGCUUCGAUUUCGAUUGAAGUGUUAUAGCUUUCGGCAGAUGUGAUGAUCGGGAUUGAGGAUUGCAACGGAUACCCUUCGGGGCUACCUGUCUGGUCUCUGAUCGUUGCUCUGGUGCCGAAAGCGUGCUUACGGUUAUCAAAGUCGAUGGUCAAUAGGUUAGAACGGGUUAAA
rnacentral:rRNA from 1 species